rnacentral:rRNA from 1 species
GACGAACGCUGGCGGCGUGCUUAACACAUGCAAGUCGAACGGAAAGGCCCUGCUUUUGUGGGGUGCUCGAGUGGCGAACGGGUGAGUAACACGUGAGUAACCUGCCCUUGUCUUUGGGAUAUCUUCAGGAAACUGGGGCUAAUACCGGAUAGGAGCUCCUGCUGCAUGGGGGGGGUUGGAAAGUUUCGGCGGUUGGGGAUGGACUCGAGGGUUAUCCGCUUGAUGGUGGGGUAGUGGCUUACAAAGGCUUUGACGGGUAGCCCGCCUGAGAGGGUGACCGGCCACAUUGCGACUGAGAUACGGCCCAGACUCCUACGGGCGGCAGCAGUCGGGAAUAUUGCACAAUGGGCGGAAGCCUGAUGCAGCAACGCCGCGUGCGGGAUGACGGCCUUCGGGUUGUAAACCGCUUUCGCCUGUGACGAAGCGUGAGUGACGGUAAUGGGUAAAGAAGCACCGGCUAACUACGUG